rnacentral:sRNA from 1 species
UUUUUUUUUAACCUAACCGCUACCGUCCGCAACCGCAAAUACUUGCGGGAAGGAGCUUUUGAAAUCUGGCAAUUUCGAACGGUAUCUAGCGGUUUCUAUGAUUGGUGCCAACCGCUAAUAACCGCUACCAUCUGCAAACGCUGCGUUUGCAGGUGGCAGAAGGAGAACCAAUCAAGCCCUUAAAACAUAUAGAUUUGGUUGACGUUUCUUA